GAUGAACGCUGGCGGCGUGCCUAAUACAUGCAAGUCGAGCGAACAGACGAGGAGCUUGCUCCUCUGACGUUAGCGGCGGACGGGUGAGUAACACGUGGAGAACCUACCUAUAAGACUGGGAUAACUUCGGGAAACCGGAGCUAAUACCGGAUAAUAUAUUGAACCGCAUGGUUCAAUAGUGAAAGACGGUUUUGCUGUUACUUAUAGCUGGAUCCGAGCCGCAUUAGCUAGUUGGUAAGGUAACGGCUUACCACGGCGACGGGGCGUAGCCGACCUGAGAGGGGGAUCGGCCACACUGGAAGUGCGACCCGGUCCAGGCUCCUACGGGAGGCAGCAGUAGGGAAUCAUCCGCAAUGGACGAAAGCCUGCCGGAACAACGGCGCGUGCGUGAUGAAGGUCUUGGGAUCGUAAAAAUCUGUUAUUAGGGAAGAACAAAUGUGUAAGUAACUAUGCUCGUCUUGACGGUACCUAAUCAGAAAGCUACGGCUAACUACGUG
rnacentral:rRNA from 1 species